rnacentral:rRNA from 1 species
AUAUCAAUAAGCGGAGGAAAAGAAACUAACAAGGAUUCCCCUAGUAGCGGCGAGCGAAGCGGGAAGAGCUCAAAUUUAUAAUCUGGCACCUUCGGUGUCCGAGUUGUAAUCUCUAGAAAUGUUUUCCGCGCUGGACCGCACACAAGUCUGUUGGAAUACAGCGGCAUAGUGGUGAGACCCCCGUAUAUGGUGCGGACGCCCAGCGCUUUGUGAUACAUUUUCGAAGAGUCGAGUUGUUUGGGAAUGCAGCUCAAAUUGGGUGGUAAAUUCCAUCUAAAGCUAAAUAUUGGCGAGAGACCGAUAGCGAACAAGUACCGUGAGGGAAAGAUGAAAAGCACUUUGGAAAGAGAGUUAACAGUACGUGAAAUUGUUGGAAGGGAAACGCUUGAAGUCAGACUUGCUUGCCGAGCAAUCGGUUUGCAGGCCAGCAUCAGUUUUCCGGGAUGGAUAAUGGUAGAGAGAAGGUAGCAGUUUCGGCUGUGUUAUAGCUCUCUGCUGGAUACAUCUUGGGGGACUGAGGAACGCAGUGUGCCUUUGGCGGGGGUUUCGACCUCUUCACACUUAGGAUGCUGGUGGAAUGGCUUUAAACGACCCGUCUUGAAACACGGACCAAGGAGUCUAACAUGCUUGCGAGUAUUUGGGUGUCAAACCCGGAUGCGUAAUGAAAGUGAAUGGAGGUGGGAACCGCAAGGUGCACCAUCGACCGAUCUGGAUUUUUAAUGAUGGAUUUGAGUAAGAGCACGUAUGUUGGGACCCGAAAGAUGGUGAACUAUGCCUGAAUAGGGCGAAGCCAGAGGAAACUCUGGUGGAGGCUCGUAGCGGUUCUGACGUGCAAAUCGAUCGUCAAAUUUGGGUAUAGGGCGA